UCGCAUCUAAUAAAUAACCUUAAAAAGUUCAUAGACAAUUUAUAGAAUCUAUAUGCAAAAUACAUAUAUUUGUACGUGGUGUGCAAGAUCCACGAUCUUGCGAUGUAUCCCUUCCUAAGAUUGGUUAUCAUACCACACCCUUGAUACACGAGUAAGGUUCACAUCACACCUCAGUACAUUGUCACAGAUGCCACCACGCCCCAUCUUUGGUCAUCUCUAUAAUUAUGUGUCUUCCCAUGCUUCGAGAGCACAUUCAUGUCUCUCCAUAUGAUAUGAUCGUAUUCUACUUGAAUAUGAGCAAUUUGCACAACACGAUAGUUAAAAAGUACAAAUUUUAGGAAGUCUAUCAGCACAAUGUAAACUCAUGCACUAUAGCUCACCAAUAAUCACCCUCUUUAAUAUUGAACUCAGCUGAACCAAUGGUCCUUAAUGGAGAGCCUCAACAUGUAUCACCAUUAUCUAUACAUACAAUUAUAGUUCAAAUAACAAUCACACUCCACCUUAAAGAGUACACCCACAACAUAUCAUGUGUUAUGUCAACUAAUAUCCGACCCACACCUUUGCAUCAAGUCAAUGCAUGUCUCACACCUUGUAUCCCUACCAAUGCAUGUAUUACACUCUUCGCCCAACUCAAUGUAUAUGUUACACCUAACAACAAAGUCAUACAGAAC
rnacentral:lncRNA from 1 species